ACCUUGGCAACAAUCUGUGUCAACAAACUAGUCCCUUCUUAAUUUUGAAAAGGUAGUCUUAAAGGCUAGGAUGACUACAAGCUGUAACCAUGGUGACUAAUAUGAGGAUCAUCUUCUGAAUAUAAUAAUUAAUAUGUUAGGCCUACCAUAAAUGUUUUUUU